UACGUAGGGGGCUAGCGUUGUCCGGAAUCAUUGGGCGUAAAGAGCGCGUAGGCGGCCAGAUAAGUCCGGUGUGAAAGUCAAAGGCUCAACCUUUGAAUGCCGCUGGAAACUGUCUGGCUAGAGUCCGGGAGGGGCGAGUGGAAUUCCUGGUGUAGCGGUGAAAUGCGCAGAUAUCAGGAGGAACACCAAUGGCGAAGGCAGCUCGCUGGGACGUUACUGACACUGAGGCGCGAAAGCGUGGGGAGCGAACAGG
rnacentral:rRNA from 1 species